UGAAAUGGUUUGGCAACGUACGCUGUCGUCUUGCACUCGUGGAAGGCGGCUCAAGGAGCCCUAACUUUAAUAGACGCCACCUCCGCCAGCCGGGCAACCCCCUGACCGAGGCUGCCCAAAACCCUAACUCUGUUCAAAGAAGCAGCUAUAGUCCAGGACUUGAAAACAGCGAGAGAUCAGAUGUCGUACGACGACGUAGAGAUUGAGGACAUGGAAUGGAACGAGGAGCUCCAGGCCUUCACGUAUCCCUGCCCCUGCGGAGACCUCUUCCAGAUCACCAGGGAAGAACUCCGUCUGGGCGAAGAGAUCGCUCGGUGCCCUAGCUGUUCUCUUUACAUCACCGUCAUCUAUAAUACGGAAGAUUUCGCCGAUUCCAAUCGCAAGAAUAAGAAUAUCGAACCUCCCAAGCGACAGCCGGUUGCCGUCGCUUGAAAAUCUCCCGGAGAGGGAAUUUUGAUUCCUUUUCUUUUUUUUCCCUAAGAUUUUUGUCAUUUUCCUAUUGGCCUAUAUAUAUGUAUUGUAGCUUGAUGGAGAGAAUUGGUUUUAUUGUCUGUUGAGUGUAUUUUUAUGGAUAUCAAUUGAAAUAGAAUUAUUUUCGAGUUUGUGAUUUUGGAAGUUUAGCAUGUUCAAUAUUGUGAUCAAGCCCUAUGAUUCUCAAUCUGCUGUACCUUUUUUAACAGGUUUCUUUCUACCCCUUUUUUCGAGCAAUCUACUGCAUUCUAAAAUGCUUGAUAUGAUCUCUACCUGAUUUCGAAUGAGGAAGACCAAUUCUGAUUCUUGAAUCAGGGUACAGAUGCAUUAACUAAGAAGAAGAAACCGAAUCGAUAAUCAUAGUCACAGGUGGGAACUGGGAAUAAAACUACCAUAGCAUCAUCCAACGAAAGAGGAGAGCAAAUUUUUUGAGGCUGUAACAUGCAAUCAAUUCCAUCUAUUCAAAUUCAGAUUGAACCCAUUUUUUGAGGUGGGAACUGGGAAUGAAACCACCAUAAUUGAACGAGUUUAAAUGGUCCAUGAAGGAGUCCAAAACUGACCUCUUGGACCCAACACCCACCCCACUCCUGGACCCAACACCUAGCCAACUGAACUGACCAUCAAAGGGACAUUCGAACCGGACGGCUGCUUCAUCAUUUUUAUCUCCCUAUCUAGCCGAGAACAAACGGUAACGGAGAAAAAAGAAUUGCUCGAAGACUGUUUCCGAGUCCAAGAAGAUGAUUCUGUGUACACGGUCCAAGUAAUGAACUUCACUGCAAAUCCUCAGAAGUUGCUGCCAGGUUUUGAGUUUCUUUUAGUCUUUAAUUUGCUAAUCAAUGGAUAAAUUUGUGUUCCUUGGAUUUUGAACAACAAAAAAGUUUGCUCUGAUAUCAGACUUUGCUAAUAUGUCAUUUUUGGACAAAAUUUUUUUGUUCCUGUGAUGCUUUAAUUUGCGCCAAAGAUACAAUAAGUUUUGUGCAAAUAAUUAUAGAAACAUGGAGAAAGAUGAAGAUUUAUUGGGAUUUUUCGAAAAAAACAGUGUAAAAACCACGCGCUCUACCAGGGGUUUUACAUUGACAAGGUGCUUUUUAAUUAGCACUACUAAUUAGUUAAUCUAUUCAUGGGCGAACUAGCAAUGCAUUUUACUAUGAAAACGCCUCACUGCCAAGCUUAAAGUUUUAGUUAUUCCACAUAUAUAUAUAGUUUUCGUGCCCUAUGCAUCAUUGUUAAAGAGCGCCAAUGAUUGUGAGAUUCUGAUGUGCUUCUUGGAGCUAUUGACUCGUAUGAUAGGAUGGAUAUGCCGCCUCUGACCUAUGUCUUCACAGUUGUGGGAUAUACGCAAAUCCACUUGAUUGAUCUUAUUCUUGGAGGGACAAACAAAAUUCCUUCUUUAGUUCUCUAGCUGAAAUAAUAGUAGCAGUUGUAGUUAUAAGUGUGGAGUGAUAUUAACUACUUGCACUAUUGCUUCUGUAUUUGUAGAGGUUCUGAAUAGCAGCUAAUCAAGUACUCAGUUUUCAGGCUCAUCUUCCAUCUGUCUAGCUGCAAAAUGGUUCCUUUGCUUUGAAUAUCUUGAUUUGUAGGCUAUACAUUUGGUUGAAGUGCUUUGAUUAUCCCAAAAGUCUCAACAGGAAUAAAGAGAUCGACUUAAAGGUGAAAUUUCAUAUGCAAGGAAAUUAUCUGGCCUCUAAGGCGGCUCAAGGAGCCCUAACUUUAAUAGACGCCACCUCCACCAGCCGGGCAACAACCUGAGUGAGGCUGCGCAAAACCCUAACUCUGUUCAGAGAAGCAGCUAUAGUCCAGAAAUGUUUUCAAAACCGGACCGGACCGGCCGGUUCGACUGGUCGAACCAUGAACCGGCCAUGUGUCCGGUCCGGUUCAUAGCUUGUAUUGAUUUUGUCCUAGAACCGGUCAAAACCAUAAAAAACCGUUCAAACCGUUAAAUUCGGAUUGAACCGUGAACCGCAGUUUUUAAAUUUUUCACAAUAUUGACUGAAUUUUGACCGAAAUUAAGAAUUAAACCUAGUCUUCUCUCAAGUCUUCAGUCUUCAAUCUUCACAAUUUUCUCAUCCGCCGCAUUUGCUCCAUAGCGCCGGGCUCCUUCCAAAUCCCCCAACUUCACAGCCGAUUCGAAGGUGUUGCUGGAGAUUUUUGUUGCUCCUAGUCUUCUCUCAAGUCUUCAGUCUUCAAUCUUCACAAUUUUCUCAUCCGCUGCAUUUGCUCCAUAGCGCCCGGCUCCUUCCAAA